rnacentral:snRNA from 1 species
GUGCUCGCUUCAGCAGCACAUGUACUAAAACUGGAACGAUACAGAGAAGAUCACCAUGGCCCCUGCACAAGGAUGACGGAUUUGUGAAGCAUUGAAAAGAGAA